UACGUAGGAGGCAAGCGUUGUCCGGAAUUACUGGGCGUAAAGCGCGUGUAGGUGGUGGGACAAGUCUGCGUGUGAAAGCGCCUGGCUUAACCGGGCGAGGUCGGCGGAAACUGUCCGACUCGAGGACGGUAGAGGGGGGUGGAAUUCCCGGUGUAGUGGUGGAAUGCGUAGAUAUCGGGAGGAACAUCAGUGGCGAAAGCGGCACCCUGGCAUUAGCCUGACGCUCAGGUGCGAAAGCGUGGGGAGCGAACGGG
rnacentral:rRNA from 1 species